UUGCAAGCGUGCUAGAGCAUCGAAGGAAGAACCAUACUUGUGGAAGAUCAUCAUAUCAAUGCAAUGAUCUAGGACUCACUAUGUCAAAGACAAAAAGCAGGCCUCUCAGUUACCAAAUGCAGAUCCAUUUAAUGCAUGAAGUUGUGAAGUGAUAUUUGGAAGGAUGUACACUUGAGUGUCUAAGAAGUUUACAAUUGAUUGUUUUU